AAUAAGCACCUGGCUAACUCUGUGCCAGCAGCCGCGGUAAUACAGAGGGUGCCAGCGUUAAUCGGAUUUACUGGGCGUAAAGCGCGCGUAGGUGGCCGAUUAAGUCAGAAUGUGAAAUCCCCGAGCUUAACUUAGGGAAUUGCAUUCGAUACUGGUUGGCUAGAGUAUGGGAGAGGAUGGUAGAAUUCCAGGUGUAGCGGUGAAAUGCGUAGAGAUCUGGAGGAAUACCGAUGGCGAAGGCAGCCAUCUGGCCUAAUACUGACACUGAGGUGCGAAAGCAUGGGGAGCAAACAGGAUUAGAUACCCUGGUAGUCCAUGCCGUAAACGAUGUCUACUAGCCGUUGGGGCCUUUGAGGCUUUAGUGGCGCAGCUAACGCGAUAAGUAGACCGCCUGGGGAGUACGGUCGCAAGACUAAAACUCAAAUGAAUUGACGGGGGCCCGCACAAGCGGUGGAGCAUGUGGUUUAAUUCGAUGCAACGCGAAGAACCUUACCUGGUCCUGACAUAGUAAGAACUUUCCAGAGAUGGAUGGGUGCCUUCGGGGAACUUACAUACAGGUGCUGCAUNGGCUGUCGUCAGCUCGUGUCGUGAGAUGU
rnacentral:rRNA from 1 species